GAGGGCUUGGUCCGCCAGCCAUGCCACACUCAAGGCCACCCCUGAGUGCAGCUGGCUCAGACUGGAGUGGCCCUGCAGGCUCCUGGCAGGUGGGGCUCUGCGGCUUCAGAGACAGGACCGUCUCCUUCCAGUUACUUCACCCACGAAGGACCACAAGCACUGCAGUUCCCUUCUGUAAGCACUGCGGCUUGCACUCGUGGAUCGUUGAUUUCACUCACUUAAUACACACUCGCGGAGCGUCGCCUGCGCCCUCACGUGCUGGGCACUGGGUUCCAACAGUGAGCAAAACAGACAAAACCUCCUGCCCUCACGAAACUUAUAUUCUGGAAGAGUCGGCAAGACAAUGAGCAAAAAUAAAGAAGAUAUGCCCUGCACCAGGUGGCGACAACCUCUGGGCAGAACAAAGGUACAGAGGAAGGGUGCAGCAUUGGGGGAAAGGGGUGGAGCUAAACAGUGGUCAGAAAGGUCCCCCUGAGGUGACAUGAGAGCAGAAAGCCAAAACAGGGCUGAGCCGUGCAGUGUCUGGGGACAGCUUUCCAGGCAGAGGGGACGGGGUGCAAAGGCCCGAGGCCACCAUCUCGUGGUUCAACUCAAGAAACCUUGAGUCAUAAACCGCUGGGUUUGCAUUUUGUUGCUGUGAUCAAAAGACCCACCAGGAACUCACUUAGCAGAGCAAAAGUUCAUUUGACCUCACCUUUCAGGGGUUUGGCCCUUAGUUGUCUGACCCCAUUGCUCCAUGGGCCCAAGGAGAGGCAGAGCUUCGAGGCGGAAGCGCGUGUGGAGGAGUUCCGUCUCAUGCGUGGUGGGCAGGAAGGGUCUGCAGGGAAGGUGCCCAUCUAGGCCACAGCCCCAGUGACCCGCCUCCUCCUGCCAUGUCCCACCUGCCUCGUCACCACCCGAUCGGUCCAUUCAGACGAGGACAUCGGAUCAUUCUACCUUGGUCUUCUGCCUCCUGCGCCAGGGCAAUUUAGAGUGGUUUAAGAUUAUCCAGAUUCUACAGGGUGCCCUCUAUGGCACCCCUAGGGAUUAGGGAUGCCCAAACCCUGAGGUGGCAUAUGGAUUCCAGAAGGGCUGGUCCCUCAGGGAAGGGAACCAAAUCCAACCCAAAUGCAUGCAGCCUCCUCACUGUCUGACCCUGUGUCCCCCUUUGGGGGUGAAGGGGCUCUCCUACUCUGAGAGGGUUGUGCCUUAUGCAGACCAGAGCGGGGAAAUGGCCACGGAACACCACUGAGUGAUCGUAGGCUGACCAGCCAGCCACUGCCCAGGAAUCAGAGGUCAGCCUGUGGCCAAGGUCAGCAGCCAGCCUUGAGUCUGAGGUUUGUGGUCAGACCAGGAAUCAGCUGGAAUCAAGAGUCAAAUCUGUAGCCAGAUCGAGAGUCGCACAUGGUUCAGUUCAGGGAUCAGCCUGAGAAACAGCAGUCACUGCUCAGACGGGGACUUCAUGCAUCACCGGGGUCAUAGGUCAGGCGGGCCAAGGUCAGGGCUACUCCUGGCCAAGGGGAAGGGGUAUGUGUCUGUGGAAUGAAGCCUCCCAGCCCAGCUGCACCAGCCCAAAGUCUGACGGCCACACCAGGCGGGAAAUAGAAGGGAAAAAGCAGUCACAGAUCCCAAGUCUGGACCUGGAGUGUCCCCUGAAGGCCGCGUGUCCCAGCCGGUGGUGAGCUGGGGGGUGCCGAAAUCUUCCAGAGGUGGGGCCUCGUGGGAGGAAGCUGGGUCCCUGGGGGUGUGCCUUCCCAGGGAGCGCCAAGACCCCAGCCCCCUCCCAUCUCUCAUUGUUUGUGAAUAGCUUCGAUCUGCCAUGGGCCUCCGCCAUGAAUGUGCUGGGCUGCCCCGGGGCCCAAAGCCACAGGCCCAAGUGACCAGGAACUAAAAGCUCUGAAACCAUGAGCCAAAGAAACUUUCCCCCUUCUAAGUCGAUGUCCGCAGGUAUGUUGUCACAGUGACGGAGAGCUGACACGGACACGCUGAGCCGCUUCAAGAUCCAGUCAGACCAACUCCAUUGGGCUUCAAGGCCUGGGGAUCCACCGUCAUUUGCAGCUCUGAGCUCCAUAUACACAGUGACAAUGACGAUGACGAAAACAGCUUUGCAUUGGACCUCACACUAUAUAAAAAAGACGAACCGGAGCAAAUUAUAUGGACCUAAACAAGCUUGAUUGUAAGGGAACAAGCCCCUCGGAGUCCAUGAUCAUCUGAUGUGUGAAAAUCCAGAGAAGACAAAGCUGUGGGGACAGAAAGCAGAUCAGUGGCUGCUAAUGUCCAGGGAGCAGGAGGAGGACGCGGUCAUCUCCAAAGUGUUGGGAGCGCAUGUCUUUUGAGGGUGAUGGAAGGGUUCUAUGUCCCUACUGUAGACUGGCUCGCAACUGGAAUCGUUUUCAAAAUAUCUCCAAGUGUGCGCUCGGAAGGGAGGCCUUGGUGUAUGCAGACUGUGUGCUGGUAAAGAUGAUUUUGGAAGUGUCCUCUACUCCUGGCGUAGGAGGGGAAG
rnacentral:lncRNA from 1 species